AGCUUUUCGAAUCCGUGCGGAGAUUUCGUCAGACAUCAACCCAUUAAAGCCGAUCAGACUUCCAAGAUUAGUGAAGUU
rnacentral:pre_miRNA from 1 species